UUGAAGAGUUUGAUCAUGGCUCAGAUUGAACGCUGGCGGCAGGCCUAACACAUGCAAGUCGAACGGUAACAGGAAGCAGCUUGCUGCUUUGCUGACGAGUGGCGGACGGGUGAGUAAUGUCUGGGAAACUGCCUGAUGGAGGGGGAUAACUACUGGAAACGGUAGCUAAUACCGCAUAAUGUCGCAAGACCAAAGAGGGGGACCUUCGGGCCUCUUGCCAUCGGAUGUGCCCAGAUGGGAUUAGCUAGUAGGUGGGGUAACGGCUCACCUAGGCGACGAUCCCUAGCUGGUCUGAGAGGAUGACCAGCCACACUGGAACUGAGACACGGUCCAGACUCCUACGGGAGGCAGCAGUGGGGAAUAUUGCACAAUGGGCGCAAGCCUGAUGCAGCCAUGCCGCGUGUAUGAAGAAGGCCUUCGGGUUGUAAAGUACUUUCAGCGGGGAGGAAGGGAGUAAAGUUAAUACCUUUGCUCAUUGACGUUACCCGCAGAAGAAGCACCGGCUAACUCCGUGCCAGCAGCCGCGGUAAUACGGAGGGUGCAAGCGUUAAUCGGAAUUACUGGGCGUAAAGCGCACGCAGGCGGUUUGUUAAGUCAGAUGUGAAAUCCCCGGGCUCAACCUGGGAACUGCAUCUGAUACUGGCAAGCUUGAGUCUCGUAGAGGGGGGUAGAAUUCCAGGUGUAGCGGUGAAAUGCGUAGAGAUCUGGAGGAAUACCGGUGGCGAAGGCGGCCCCCUGGACGAAGACUGACGCUCAGGUGCGAAAGCGUGGGGAGCAAACAGGAUUAGAUACCCUGGUAGUCCACGCCGUAAACGAUGUCGACUUGGAGGUUGUGCCCUUGAGGCGUGGCUUCCGGAGCUAACGCGUUAAGUCGACCGCCUGGGGAGUACGGCCGCAAGGUUAAAACUCAAAUGAAUUGACGGGGGCCCGCACAAGCGGUGGAGCAUGUGGUUUAAUUCGAUGCAACGCGAAGAACCUUACCUGGUCUUGACAUCCACGGAAGUUUUCAGAGAUGAGAAUGUGCCUUCGGGAACCGUGAGACAGGUGCUGCAUGGCUGUCGUCAGCUCGUGUUGUGAAAUGUUGGGUUAAGUCCCGCAACGAGCGCAACCCUUAUCCUUUGUUGCCAGCGGUCCGGCCGGGAACUCAAAGGAGACUGCCAGUGAUAAACUGGAGGAAGGUGGGGAUGACGUCAAGUCAUCAUGGCCCUUACGACCAGGGCUACACACGUGCUACAAUGGCGCAUACAAAGAGAAGCGACCUCGCGAGAGCAAGCGGACCUCAUAAAGUGCGUCGUAGUCCGGAUUGGAGUCUGCAACUCGACUCCAUGAAGUCGGAAUCGCUAGUAAUCGUGGAUCAGAAUGCCACGGUGAAUACGUUCCCGGGCCUUGUACACACCGCCCGUCACACCAUGGGAGUGGGUUGCAAAAGAAGUAGGUAGCUUAACCUUCGGGAGGGCGCUUACCACUUUGUGAUUCAUGACUGGGGUGAAGUCGUAACAAGGUAACCGUAGGGGAACCUGCGGUUGGAUCACCUCCUU
rnacentral:rRNA from 2 species